rnacentral:rRNA from 1 species
ACUCAAAUGAAUUGACGGGGACUUGCACAAGCAGUGGAUUAUGUGACUCAAUUCGAUGAUAAACGAAGAACCUUACCAGGGUUAGAAAUCUAAUCGAAGGUAGUUGGAAACAUCUACCGCCGAAAGGCGGUUAGACAGGUGAUGCAUGGCCGUCGUCAGUUCGUGGUUUGAAUUGUUCCCUUAAGUGGGGUAACGAACGCAACCCUCGUUGGCUGUUACAAGUGUCAGCCGAGACCGCCCUGCCUUUUGCGCGAAAAUAAUUGUGCGCAAAAGGCAGGGAGGAAGGCGAGGAUGACGCCAGGUCAGCAUGUCCCUCUGAUAUCCUGGGCUGUACACAUAAUACAAUCGCCGUUACAACGCGACGCAAAACCGCAAGGUAGAGCAAAUCGUUAGAAAGACGGCGCCAGUUCGGAUUGAGGUCUGCAACUCGACCUCAUGAAGCCGGAAUUGCUAGUAAUCGCGGGUCAGCUAUACCGCGGUGAAUACGUUCUCAAGUCUUGUACACACCGCCCGU